CCCCUCUCAGGAUCUCACCUGGAGAGUCCCUAAUACUCUACCAGUCCAGGCUAUGGGAGGGAGAGUCAAAGCAGAGACAUACCCAUACCAUUCCUUGCUGGCCAGUGGCUAGUGAGUGGAAGGCAAUCUGCUACAAGU